UUGAACGCUGGCGGCAGGCCUAACACAUGCAAGUCGAACGGUAACAGGAAGCAGCUUGCUGCUUCGCUGACGAGUGGCGGACGGGUGAGUAAUGUCUGGGAAACUGCCUGAUGGAGGGGGAUAACUACUGGAAACGGUAGCUAAUACCGCAUAAUGUCGCAAGACCAAAGAGGGGGACCUUCGGGCCUCUUGCCAUCGGAUGUGCCCAGAUGGGAUUAGCUUGUUGGUGGGGUAACGGCUCACCAAGGCGACGAUCCCUAGCUGGUCUGAGAGGAUGACCAGCCACACUGGAACUGAGACACGGUCCAGACUCCUACGGGAGGCAGCAGUGGGGAAUAUUGCACAAUGGGCGCAAGCCUGAUGCAGCCAUGCCGCGUGUAUGAAGAAGGCCUUCGGGUUGUAAAGUACUUUCAGCGGGGAGGAAGGGAGUAAAGUUAAUACCUUUGCUCAUUGACGUUACCCGCAGAAGAAGCACCGGCUAACUCCGUGCCAGCAGCCGCGGUAAUACGGAGGGUGCAAGCGUUAAUCGGAAUUACUGGGCGUAAAGCGCACGCAGGCGGUUUGUUAAGUCAGAUGUGAAAUCCCCGGGCUCAACCUGGGAACUGCAUCUGAUACUGGCAAGCUUGAGUCUCGUAGAGGGGGGUAGAAUUCCAGGUGUAGCGGUGAAAUGCGUAGAGAUCUGGAGGAAUACCGGUGGCGAAGGCGGCCCCCUGGACGAAGACUGACGCUCAGGUGCGAAAGCGUGGGGAGCAAACAGGAUUAGUUACCCUGGUAGUCCACGCCGUAAACGAUGUCGACUUGGAGGUUGUGCCCUUGAGGCGUGGCUUCCGGAGCUAACGCGUUAAGUCGACCGCCUGGGGAGUACGGCCGCAAGGUUAAAACUCAAAUGAAUUGACGGGGGCCCGCACAAGCGGUGGAGCAUGUGGUUUAAUUCGAUGCAACGCGAAGAACCUUACCUGGUCUUGACAUCCACGGAAGUUUUCAGAGAUGAGAAUGUGCCUUCGGGAACCGUGAGACAGGUGCUGCAUGGCUGUCGUCAGCUCGUGUUGUGAAAUGUUGGGUUAAGUCCCGCAACGAGCGCAACCCUUAUCCUUUGUUGCCAGCGGUCCGGCCGGGAACUCAAAGGAGACUGCCAGUGAUAAACUGGAGGAAGGUGGGGAUGACGUCAAGUCAUCAUGGCCCUUACGACCAGGGCUACACACGUGCUACAAUGGCGCAUACAAAGAGAAGCGACCUCGCGAGAGCAAGCGGACCUCAUAAAGUGCGUCGUAGUCCGGAUUGGAGUCUGCAACUCGACUCCAUGAAGUCGGAAUCGCUAGUAAUCGUGGAUCAGAAUGCCACGGUGAAUACGUUCCCGGGCCUUGUACACACCGCCCGUCACACCAUGGGAGUGGGUUGCAAAAGAAGUAGGUAGCUUAACCUUCGGGAGGGCGCUUACCACUUUGUGAUUCAUGACUGGGGUG
rnacentral:rRNA from 1 species